UCUUCCGUGUUUUCACUCGAACUCAAUCUCAAGGUUGAAGGAGAAAACCACCGAAGAGGAAGUGAUGGCGAAAAUCACCACCACUCUCCACUUCCUUCAGUUUCAUCCCCUUUGACCACCACCACCAUCACCAUCUUCUUCGUUUCUUUCUUUCUCUCCGUUUCUUCUAACCUGUAACCCUACGGUUAAUUUUUGAAUUGAUCGUCUAACCUGCAACCCUAGAUACCAAAUUGGAUAAACCUUUCUUCUUCAUUCAAAUCGCUUAUUUUAUCAAUCCAACCUGUAAUCCUAAAUUCGAAAUGGAAUUUACAAUUGAAAUUUCGGAAUUACUUCUGAAGAUUCCAAAUUAGAUCACCACCACCCUCCUCCACCUCCUUUUACUGCAGAUGAAUCAACAUCGAAGCCACAGACUUACGAAGCUAGCCGAGACAGACAAAAUUAAAAAUAAAAAAUGAUUGCGGAAUGCUUACUAUAAAGCGAAACAAGAGAAAAUGACAGACGAUGAAAGACAAGCUUUGAACAAAAGAUGUCUUAUUUCUUAUCGCAAACGAAUUGAAGCCAGCACAAGCUGAUUCAUUUGAAACAGACAUCCUUCAUUAUUUUGGGGCAAACUUUAAUUUUAGUAGCUUAUCAGGUUGAGCAAUCUUCACUCAAGCCCUACUAUUUUCAAUCGAAAUAAGAUGCAUGAAGCCGGCCCAAUUUGUGGUGAUCAAGUACAUCUCACAGUUCAAGUGCUGGACAACAUUCUCCCGAGCCCUAGGAUCAUAGAAAAACUUCGGCAUCUAACAUUAGCAGGUACACUGAUUGAAAGAGGCAAGAAGUGUCAAUCUUAAAAUGACCCAGAAUUGUAGUUACCAGAAAUGAAAGAAGCAAGAAGUGCCAACCUGAAACCCACCCAGAACAAAGACAACUUCGAUGUUCGGGUUACCUUUAUUACUUUUUGACAAUGUAAGCCCUGUAUUCUCGAUGCACGUUGCCGGUUCAGGUGGCAGGCACAUUUGCGAGUGCAGUCUUUAUUAAGGUGUUUGUUUGACUGUACAAUCUGAACCGAGAACACUGUUUUCUCCCAGUUGGAUGUUUAAUGUAAUUACCGUUUUCUCCCA